rnacentral:rRNA from 1 species
UACGUAGGGGGCAAGCGUUGUCCGGAUUUAUUGGGCGUAAAGAGCGUGUAGGCGGUUUGGUAGGUCCGUUGUGAAAACUCGAGGCUCAACCUCGAGACGCCGAUGGAAACCAUCAGACUAGAGUCCGGAAGAGGAGAGUGGAAUUCCUGGUGUAGCGGUGAAAAUGCGCAGAUAUCAGGAAGAACACCCGUGGCUAAGGCGGCUCUCUAGUACGGUACUGACGCUGAGACGCGAAAGCGUGGGGAGCGAACAGG